rnacentral:rRNA from 1 species
GACGUAGGUGGCGAACGUUAUCCGGAAUCAUUGGGCGUAAAGGGUGCGUAGAUGGCCUAAUAAGUUAUUAGUGGGAAAUCGAGGCUCAACCUCGUGGAAGCUAGUAAUACUGUUUUGCUUGAGUGCAGAAGAGGUUAACGGAACUCCAUGUGGAGCGGUAAAAUGCGUAGAUAUAUGGAAGAACAUCAAUAACGGCGAAGGCAGUUAACUAUUCUGUUACUGACAUUGAGGCACGAAAGCGUGGGGAGCAAAACGG